ensembl:lncRNA
ACCUUGGCUUCAACAGAGGAGUCAAUUGGAAAAUGUUACCCAAAAACCAGCCCCACAGCUGGUGCCACAAUCCCAGUUAGAGCCUGAGGACAAAUGUCAAUUAAAUUCUCAAACACCACUACAGCAUAUAGUGGCUGUUAGCUCACCUGAGGCCCAGGGACCUGCUCAAAGCGCAACACAGUCAAAAAGCAUUGUUGAGAGUGAUGAGAAAGACCUGAAGCCAGCUCAGCCUCUUGUAGUAACACAAAAACUACCUCAGACUGUGCCAGCAGUUCCAGCACAAUCAGUGACUCAAAAACAAACACAACAGCCAGUGACUGUUCCAAUUCAUCAACAAAUAUUAAACCAACCUCAGCCCUUUUUAUCAACUCAAGCUCAAGCACAACAACCACAAGCUACUGCACCCAUUAAGCAACAAAUGCAACCUCAGAUCGUGACACCACAGCAACCUCAAGUGAUGAUCCAGAAACAGGCACAAUCUCAAUCCAUGACACCCAUGCAACCACAGGUUAUGGCCCAGUGGCAGCCACAACAGACUAUUGCUCAACCUCAACCUGCCGUACCACAACCACAAAUAUUUUCAGUGGCCCAAACAAUGCCACAAGGCACUUCCAGACCGGCCCAACAGUACCCAGCAUCUCACUUUCAACCACAAAUAAUGAUGCAGGGACAACAGUCACCCCAUGGUGUAGCGCAAGCUCAGUCCCAGCAACCCACAAUGCACAAUCCGACUAUAAUUUCACCUCAGCCCAAAGGUGCAUCCACCAUACAACCCAGAAUCAUCUCUAUGCCACAACCCCAGAUGCCACUUCAAUCUCAAACCCAAACUCAGGUCAAGGCACAGGGAAGUGCACCACUUAUUUUUCAACCUCAGGGGCAACCCCAGUGGUAUCAACCAGGAGACGUCACCCAAACAUACCCCAAUGUCCAAGGACCAAUAUCUGUUGCUGACCAAAUGCAGCAUCUCGCCCAUUUCCAAACUCACCCCCAACCUCCAAGUAUCCCUCCAGCUCAGCCUCAGCAGUGGUCACCAAUAAGACCAGGCAUAGAGAACCAGACCUACCCCACUGUCCAAGUUCCAGGUCAGGUAGUCCAACCUCAAUCUCAAAUGUCAGUUUACCCUAAAAUCCAGCCGCAAUCACAGCCUCAGCAGUGGCCCUCUGCUAUACCUGAAUCACCUUGCGGUCAGUCACAGAUAAGACCCCAAGGUCCAGCUCAGCAUGUGGUUACCUCACAUCAUUGGAGGCCUGUCAGUCCAGUAUACCCCGGGACUGAAACCCAAGGCCCCAAGGGACCACUUCCUCAGUCCCAAUAUCAAGCCCUACCAAGGCCACCAAGCACUCAACGGCAGUGGGGUCCAGUCCGGCCAGAACAUCAGUUUCAAGUCUCUUCCCAGACUAUGUUACAUGGUGUUUUCCAGCCAGAAGCUCCAUGGAAUCAUCCUCCUGCGCAAGCUCCCAUAAGACCUCAGAGUCCACAACAGCCUCAGCAAAGACAGCAAAAGUGGAGUUCAUCAAGGAUAGAGGCCCCAUCUGAAACCCUUAUCCAAAGCCAAGCACCCCAGGCAGAGCUUCAGUCCCAAGAUCAGAUACCCCAACAGCAGUCAGCUCCUCUGGUUAAGCAGUUAGCACUUGCCCAGGCUCCACCUCAAGCCUACACUGAGGCUUAUAUUAAGGCACAGGCCUUGGUUAGAAAUAGAUUUGAGGAAGCCAAGCACUGUCUUCAAGAGCACAUUAUAGAAGCUAUCAGUGUAUUCAAGGACAAGCGAAUGACGGACGAACAGGCAUCAAAUAAGGAGGAGACGCUUCGUACUCUGGACUCUGAACUUCUUGAAGAGUUCUUGAGGGCUGUGGAAGGGAUGGAAGCUUUCUGCACCCCAUCUG